CUCGGUGGCAAUACCGGAGGGGUCACACCCGUUCCCAUCCCGAACACGGAAGUAAAGUCCUCCUGGGCCGAUGAUACUAUGACCGAGAGGUCAUGGGAAAGUAGGACGUCGCCGGGA
rfam:Nitrospirae bacterium GWC2_57_9 gwc2_scaffold_9656, whole genome shotgun sequence.